CCUAUUUUUUUUUUUCUGAAUUUUCUCUUUCUUCCACGUUCCUUCCUCUUGCCUACCAGCUUUUUUUAGAUGUUGUUAAUCAUGCGCGAAACAUUCAAGGGAUACUGAAUCGUAAUAAUUUGAAUCCUUAAAGGGCAUUUUAUUCCAAAUUACUUUAUCACCCUCACCAGGCAAGACAAUAACAACUGCUUAUUCAUUUCCACUCAUCAAAGAAAUGCUCAAGAUAUUCCUUCAAUUUUCUUCAUUAUACUCUUUUACUUUUUAUCUUCUGCUUUUCUUUCCCAAUAUCUCUCAAUCAAUUACAUCUCACAGGAUUCCUAUAGUCAUUUGUGAAACAAACAAAAGUUCCUUUGAUAGCCAUUUAUUUUAAAGUAUAGUAUUUGCUCAUGGUUCCAUAGAAAAGAUGACAAAUCGUCACUCAAGAAAAGCAAUCAAGUUUUUUGGAAGAUUAAUCGGUCCUGAAAAUGUUGAAGAGCUCCAAAGAACCAGAUCAGAUAUUGAAACUAAUAUUUCUGGGAUAUUGAAAUUUAUUAAGAACGAGAGUCUUAAUACAGAAGAUGGAAAUCUCAAACAUUCCACAAACUGGACAGAAUUUAAGGGGUUGAUAGAAGACUUAUGCAAGAAUCAUCAAUCAAUGUAUGCCUUGUAUGAUCGUAUUACUGAAGAAUUUGAGAAAUCCGUUUCUCGUAAAAGAAAAGUGUCUUCAUCUGACUCUGAAUCUGAAUACUUUUCUU